rnacentral:rRNA from 1 species
UCGGGAAUUUUGGGCAAUGGGCGAAAGCCUGACCCAGCAACGCCGCGUGAAGGAUGAAAUCCCUCGGGAUGUAAACUUCAUAAGAACGGGAAGAAUAAGUCCGUGCUAACACCCGGGUGGGGUGACGGUACUUCCUUAGCAAGCACCGGCUAACUCCGUGCCAGCAGCCGCGGUAAUACGGAGGGUGCAAACGUUGCUCGGAAUUAUUGGGCGUAAAGCGCACGUAGGCGGCUUGGUAAGUCGGGUGUGAAAGCCCUGGGCUCAACCCAGGAAGGGCACUCGAAACUGGCAGGCUUGAGUACGGAAGAGGGUCUCGGAAUUCCCGGUGUAGAGGUGAAAUUCGUAGAUAUCGGGAGGAACACCAGUGGCGAAGGCGGAGACCUGGGCCGAUACUGACGCUGAGGUGCGAAAGCGUGGGGAGCAAACAG